rnacentral:rRNA from 1 species
UACGUAGGGUGCAAGCGUUAAUCGGAAUUACUGGGCGUAAAGCGUGCGCAGGCGGUGAUGUAAGACAGGUGUGAAAUCCCCGGGCUUAACCUGGGAACUGCAUUUGUGACUGCAUCGCUAGAAUCAUGGAGAGGUGAGUGGAAUUCCGAGUGUAGAGGUGAAAUUCGUAGAUAUUCGGAAGAACACCAGUGGCGAAGGCGACUCACUGGACAUGUAUUGACGCUGAGGUGCGAAAGCGUGGGGAGCAAACAGG